rnacentral:lncRNA from 1 species
CUAAAUCACGGCCCAAUUACUAAACCACCCGACCCAAAUCUAUUUGUACCAACCCACCCGGAUCCCCAUUUUAAAUCAUGGUCGUUGAUCAUAAUGAUCAACGAUCCACGAUUGAUCUUACCUUAAUUAAACCCAUGACCUCCAUUUACCCUAAACCAUUUCUCUGAAUCCGUCGCCCUCGUAUUCCCUUUCACUCCCAAACACUCUCUAAC